UACGGGGGGAGCAAGCGUUGUUCGGAUUUACUGGGCGUAAAGCGCACGUAGGCGGAUUGUUAAGUCAGGGGUGAAAUCCUGGAGCUCAACUCCAGAACUGCCUUUGAUACUGGCGAUCUCGAGUCCGGGAGAGGUGAGUGGAACUGCGAGUGUAGAGGUGAAAUUCGUAGAUAUUCGCAAGAACACCAGUGGCGAAGGCGGCUCACUGGCCUGGUACUGACGCUGAGGUGCGAAAGCGUGGGGAGCAAACAGG
rnacentral:rRNA from 1 species